rnacentral:rRNA from 1 species
UACGUAGGGCGCAAGCGUUGUCCGGAAUCAUUGGGCGUAAAGAGCUCGUAGGCGGCCUGUUGCGUCCGCUGUGAAAUCCCGGGGCUCAACUCCGAGCUUGCAGUCGAUACGGGCAGGCUAGAGUUCGGCAGGGGAGACUGGAAUUCCUGGUGUAGCGGUGAAAUGCGCAGAUAUCAGGAGGAACACCGGCGGCGAAAGCGGGUCUCUGGGCCAUAACUGACGCUGAGGAGCGAAAGCGUGGGGAGCGAACAGG